rnacentral:rRNA from 1 species
CCCUUAGAUGUCCUGGGCCGCACGCGCGUUACACUGAUGCAUUCAACGAGCAUAUAACCUUGGCCGAGAGGCCUGGGUAAUCUUGUUAACAUGCAUCGUGAUAGGGAUAGAUUAUUGCAAUUAUUAAUCUUGAACGAGGAAUUCCUAGCAAUCGCAGUUCAUCAAACUGCAAUGAUUACGUCCCUGCCCUUUGUACACACCGCCCGUCGCACCUACCGAUUGAAUGGUCCGGUGAGGACUCGGGAUUGUGGUUUAGCUCCUUCAUUGGGGCCUGACUGCGAGAACUUGUCCGAACCUUAUCAUUUAGAGGAAGGUGAAGUCGUAACA